AAAGACUCAAUUCCUGGGUUUUCGUGUCCUACGUUUGACUGUCCGUCUUAUAUGAAUUUUUUUCAUGAUUAGUAUUUUUAUUGUUGUUAGAUGAUAAAACAUGAAUAAUACUUUAUGUGUGAUUUAUCUUUUUAAAUUUUUUUAUUUUUUUUAAAUAAGACGGACGAUUAAACGUUAGACACGGAAACUCAAGAAUUGAGUUAUU
rnacentral:pre_miRNA from 1 species